rnacentral:rRNA from 1 species
UACGUAGGGUGCGAGCGUUGUCCGGAAUUAUUGGGCGUAAAGAGCUCGUAGGCGGUGUGUCACGUCGGUCGUGAAAACCUGCAGCUUAACUGUGGGCGUGCGGUCGAUACGGGCAUCACUGGAGUUCGGCAGGGGAGACUGGAAUUCCUAGUGUAGCGGUGAAAUGCGCAGAUAUCAGGAGGAACACCGGUGGCGAAGGCGGGUCUCUGGGCCGAUACUGACGCUGAGGAGCGAAAGCGUGGGGAGCAAACAGG